AUACCGAAUAUUCUCGUCUCUGGGCAUCCAGGGAUGAGGAAACCUUCGGGGCGGAGGGAGCGGCCUGCGGCCUAUUAGCUAGUUGGUGGGGUAAUGGCCUACCAAGGCUCCGAUGGGUAGCCGGUCUGAGAGGAUGAUCGGCCACACUGGGACUGAGACACGGCCCAGACUCCUACGGGAGGCAGCAGUGAGGGAUUUUGCGCAAUGGACGAAAGUCUGACGCAGCGACACCGCGUGAGUGAUGAAGGCCUUCGGGUUGUAAAGCUCUGUCAGGAGGGACGAGAAGGGACGGUACCUCCAGAGGAAGCCUCGGCUAACUACGUGCCAGCAGCCGCGGUAAGACGUAGGGGGCAAGCGUUGUCCGGAAUUACUGGGCGUAAAGGGCUCGUAGGUGGGACUAUAAGUCAAUGAGUAAAUGCUCCGGCUUAACCGGAAGCGCCAUUGUUGAUACUGUAGUUCUUGA
rnacentral:rRNA from 1 species